rnacentral:lncRNA from 1 species
GAAGGGCAAACUGCUGUGGGUUUCGAUUUUUAGCAACAAUGGUUGGUUUCGUCGCCCUUUGUCCGGUCGGACAGGUUCGAGUAACCGUGCUUGCGCGAAUAAAGGAAAUAAUUUUUAUUACUUGUUCCAUCUUUUUUGGUAAAUAUUUUUAGUUCCCCAUAGGUAUCUUCCACCAUACAUGUGUUCGGUCCACAUCAAUCCAACUUUUUUUGCUCGGACGUUCGUUGGUCACCUACAGUUUCCGUUCUGCACACUCUUCCUUCUGUCCAUCAUCCUUUUCAGAUUCUAGUUGGAGUUCCUCUCCUAUAAUUAAUUGAGCCCAAUUUCUCAUUUGUUUC